rfam:Bacillus litoralis strain C44 Scaffold20, whole genome shotgun sequence.
UGGGUAGUAUCUAUUAGAACUACACCUCAUUGAAGUGGGAAUAAUUAAUUCAUGAAGCAUUCUACUUUAGUUAAUAGUAAUAGUAGAGUCUAAACACAACUGAUUGAAAUGAAAUUCUGCCUUGAUCCAAAAAGGACUAGGACAGAGGG